rnacentral:rRNA from 1 species
AGGGGGGGGGGGCUACAAUGCCAGUUCGAGCGGUACAUUUCUAGCUUGCUAGAAGAUGACGAGCGGCGGACGGGUGAGAAAAGCUUGGGAAUAUGCCUUAGGAUGGGGGACAACAGCUGGAAACGACUGCUAAUACCGCAUAACGUCUACGGACCAAAGGGGGCUUCGGCUCUCGCCCUUAGAUUAGCCCAAGUGGGAUUAGCUAGUUGGUGAGGUAAUGGCUCACCAAGGCGACGAUCCCUAGCUGGUUUGAGAGGAUGAUCAGCCACACUGGAACUGAGACACGGUCCAGACUCCUACGGGAGGCAGCAGUGGGGAAUAUUGCACAAUGGGCGCAAGCCUGAUGCAGCCAUGCCGCGUGUGUGAAGAAGGCCUUAGGGUUGUAAAGCACUUUCAGUAAGGAGGAAAGGUUAGUAGUUAAUACCUGCUAGCUGUGACGUUACUUACAGAAGAAGCACCGGCUAACUCCGUGCCAGCAGCCGCGGUAAUACGGAGGGUGCGAGCGUUAAUCGGAAUUACUGGGCGUAAAGCGUACGCAGGCGGUUUGUUAAGCGAGAUGUGAAAGCCCCGGGCUCAACCUGGGAACUGCAUUUCGAACUGGCAAACUAGAGUAUGAUAGAGGGUGGUAGAAUUUCAGGUGUAGCGGUGAAAUGCGUAGA